CUCCUAGAUCUCAUUUAAGGGCUGAUCACCACUAAAGUAACAUCUUUCUGGAGAUUGCUCCUGUAUGGAGUUUCUAUAGUGAGCUUCAACACUGAUGGGCAUCUUUAUCAUGAGCUUCAACAUCGAAAACCAGGCGAGCAGCUCGAAGGAUGCUUCGUUCCUCUUGUGGCAGCAUCGUGCACCCAAGGCCUGGAAAUCAUUGCAGGAAAAACCAGCGGCUGUGAGGUGACAGAUGUGAGGGCUGCUGCCACCUAUGGAUGGAGAGGGGCUGCUGUCCUCAUGCAAACACAUGGAGUACAGGAAAGGACUUUUGCUGGGAGCUUGCUUGGUUAAUCUGGCUGCAUUGCUUUCGUUGACAGCCCAUAGCUUAUCCUCCCUUUCACCUUGUUCUUCUUCUAAUGUAUUGAGAUCUUUUUCAGGUGUGCAGCUUCAUGCUCAGGUUGCUCUGCUGAUAAUUUCUGCACUAAAACUGCACCGCGUGCUACUGGCCCAUGGAAGAUGAAUUUGCUCUGCACACACAUCCAUGUGUGCUGGGACAUGGGGAGACUGGGCACACAGGCUUCAGCUUAUUGAAGAACCUGUUUUUCUUUUACCCUGAGUCACUGUGCAUGAAGAAACCAUUGUUUUAAAGGUGACUCAUCCGUUUGCAUCACCAGCUGCCAUGCCCCCCAGGGGUACACAGGCUCCAAGCAGGCAGCAGCCGACAGCUUCUAUGUCUCAGGCUGCAGGUGCUGCACUCUGGCUCAUCCCUGCCAGCCCAGCCCUGCACUGCAGGUAUCUGUUUGCUUCCAUGGUCUUCCUUCAUGAAGAAAGAGCAUCUUGCUGACAGGCUGCCUGCUGCUUGAGGAGGGAAAGCUGUACGGUGAGAUACCUGCCUGCUGCUGAAAUAGCCAGGACUGGUGAGUUUCCUGAAACCAGCAUUCUACUGGGUAGGAAAUUUCUUUGCUUAUUACCAAGACACAUCAAACACACUGAAAUUACAGGGCAAAGGAGGGCAACACCCAAAUUAUCCACUUCACACAGUGCCUUCUCUCUUACCUGCUAACAUGGGUUGAGUAUGGUCAGGCACAGCUGCCCAGGGAGUGGGGGGGAUGUUCUGAGCUGUUCCAGAAUGUGGAGAUGUGGCACUUGGGGACACGGUCAGUGGGAAUGGGCUGGGAUUGGACUUGGUAAACCCAGGGGUCUUUUCCAGCCCUACUGGUUCUGUGAUUCAUGCUGCUGCUUCUCAUGUCCCAUUGCCUGACCACCUUCCAACAAACACCUUCCAGCAGCACCGUGUUCUACAAGCUAAGCCCAAGCAAACCCCAGGGACAGCUGACCAGGUCACACAGGGACGACACCGGCAUCAUCACAUGGAGCUCAUUUCAUAAUUGCAUGUUUACAGAGACAUAAAUAGCAUUCAUCCAGCAGUCACAUGCAUACGGAUCUGUUACACAUUCCUUGCUGCCGUCAGACAAACUUGCAGGACCUCAGCAAACUUCAGCUAACCAUGACUGCAGCUCUCUGGUUUUCACUUGCUUCCCCCAGGAUAACAGCAAACACGGUGCAGAUCUUCCCCUGGCUCUCUCUCGUGUUCUGUCUGACAGCAGCGAGGAGAACACAAGCAGGAUUCUGGCUUUGGCAGAUUUGUUACCUGGGAUUUCAAGCAGAAACAUCUUGAGAAAUGAAAGCUCCCCAAAGCAGCCUGGGGGAAGGAAUAAGAAAAAGUCAUCCUGCUUUUUAAACUGAAGAGGCAAUUCAAGUUAGAGAUGUGGAGACAAAAUGGCAUUUCAGAAGGAGCAACAGCAGAUGGCAGGACUAGAAGAGGAGUAAGUUCCAAGUGCAAAUCAGAGCCGUGCUCUCUGUGCAGACACACCUCCAGGCACAGCCAUCACAUUGCUGCUCCUUCUCCCAGGGAUGUGUGCUGGAGUUGCUGGAGAGCGAUGGGUGGGAGGCAGCCAACGGGAUGGCUGGUUUCAUAGGAACACCCAGCAUCCUUAGACCAGCUCUAAAAGCAUCUCAGAUGCCCAUAACAAAGCAUAAGUUGUAAAGAAGCACAGUGGUGCUAUGAGCUCUGCCUCCUCCUGCUGUGCCCAGCACUGUGCCCCCAGCAGCACCCACAGCUCCAGCUGUUCUCCUGCUGCGGCUGCACAUCUCCACUUCUCCUCCAUGUAUUGACUCACAAUAAAUUAAAGAUUUGUCUCUCCUCUGCAAAUUCUUCUCUCCAAUUUUUUUCCCUUUAGGACCUACUGAGCACUUUCACUGGAUGUCCUCUGCAAUUCUGUGCUAAUGCAUCCCAGUGACAAUGCUUCCAAAGGUUUGUUUUAAAUUCCUUCUGUGUGUAUGUAUACGUAUCUAUUGACACACUGUAGAUGCUCUACAUGCACCAACAGCAAGGAACAGAAGAGUGGUGGCACACCAAGGUUUUCCUUCCACAGCUCCAUGGAGCUGAACCCAACCAGGAUCCUGCUCCAGGAAAGCAGUAAGGAAAUGGCAUCCAGGCCCUGGGCUGGAACUGAACGUCUGCUGAGUUCAAAGCCCAGCUCUGAGCGCCAGCAGCCAGGAGAGCCCCAAAUCCAGUCCAAUGUUUUGCAGCUUGUGCUUAUCUCUGGUCAGAAACUCCGAGCUCGAAGUGAUGCCCCCACAACUGGGAUGCUCCAUUGGGGCCAUUUAAACGCUCUCCCCUUUUGCUCUCUGACAAGGGGCCAUGUUUCAACCCAGAUAAAUUCUCCCUUCCUCCAUCCCACAGCUGUCCCCAGCCGUUAGCUGCCAAGGAGCUAAAGCCAUCAACAGCUCAGCUUCUCCACCAGGACACAGCACCGCAAGAGCCAGACUGAUCUUGACCCAGAGCAACAGCUGUCACAGCACAUCCCUGCCGGGGGACUCUGGGGUCUGGGAGCAGAGCUAAAUCACUAAGAGCAAAUGCAAACCAAAUGUUUCCUCUUCUCUCCACAACACGGACAAGCAGGGUGCAGGUUCAGAGGCACUGCUUUGCUCCAGGCUGCUGCUGGUGGCUCUGAGCUCUCCCUUUGCUCAGGCAGUGACCAGGUAUGACACCUUCCUUCUGGACCUCGUUUUCCUCACGGUUAAUCAAGGACAAGAGCCCUCUGCAGCACAAGGAUGGUGAGGCAGCAUUUGCAUGUAAGAAGCCAGAAUGAAAAAUCCUGGACUGAAAAUUGUAUCGAAGGCUGUGAAGACAGGUAUUGUUUGUCUGUAAAACUGGACUCUCCUAUCCCAUUUCAACAUCACAACACAGGUAAUAUAAUCUUCUUGUGAUGUUUCCUGCAUUAAGGAUCUGCUUGUGUGCAGACAUGAACAGAAACACUGAUGAAGAACAGGCUGAGCUGCCAUUACAGCCAGCUGAAGAAACCCCCAGUCACUAUCAGAAUGUGUGCUAUGCCACAACACUUCUGCUUGUCCACGGACAAUGUAACUAAGAAUUACCUGCUUAGAACUCCUUUUCUUCACAUUCCAACACAGAACUUUAUUUUCUAUUCCCAAUGCUUCAAUUUCAAGCCUGGGAUGCGAUAACAUAAUAAUAAGAAACACCGCAUUAAGAACAUCUUUAAGACCGCUUUCAUCUUUAGUUUUUCCUCUGCAGUUUAUUAUAUAAAUUAUGCUUUGAAACAUUUAGAGCACUCACAUUUCAAAACAGAAAAUGGAUAUUUCCACGCUGAGAUACUAGUGCAAAGGUGGUUUGUCUAAGUGCAAAUAAAUUACACGUCCCCACCGACAGCCAAUGGAUCAGGCUGUUUGUAAUGCGUCUCCUAAGUCCAUAACUCACGAUUACAUUAUUUACACUGAGUUUGAGCAUGUUGUAGUUGAUAGAAAUAUUGGACUUUGGUUGGUGACAACCAAAUAUGCUGACAGUACAAACCGGACAGAACAAUUCUACAUGAAGAAGACCUGUUAAUUCACUGGGACUGAAGAACAACAACAUUGUUUUUCUGAGUUGACUUUAGUUACAAAUAAGCAGAUGUCAAAUGCUCUAUUUGCUGCUGAAUUCCAUGUAUUAAAACACGACAAGGCUUGCAUACAUGCAGGUAUUAUGUUCCAGUGAAUGCCAUGGGUCAUCUUUGGCACAUCAUAGACAGUACCUGAACACUGAGUACAGCAUUAGAUAACACACUUCAUGAAAUAGCCUUGGUCUGGAUGAGGAUAAAUGAGAACAGACAAAGAUCUUUCCCACCUCCAAUGCCAAUAACUGUUGUUAAAAUAAAUGUAUUAAACCAAGACUGAAAUACAGCAAUGCCCCUCAGUUACACAGUACAUUCUAAAAUCAAUGUCUAAUUAAAUUCAAGCAAAAUAAACCUCAUUCAACUCACAGAUGCUUCCAUGUGGGGUCACCGCAGUGAAAUACGGGCUGUUUUGUCUGAUGCUGUUAUAAAUAUCUUUGAAAUCUGCACUCGUUUAUCUUAAAGUUGCAGCGUAAAAACAAAUUAGAGACUCUCCACAAAUAAUGUAUUUAUUAACGAGUUUUCUUUUUCACAUUCUUUUAAGCGAUGCUCCAUUGAAAUCUGCAUAGUCAAGAGUGCAAAAGUAAUUCACAAAAUCAGACCCAGAUGUGAAGGUUGCUUCUUUUAUAAGUAGGUAGGACUGGUCACAGUCAUAGGAAUAAGCAACCUCCAGAACUAAAGGUAUGGGAGAUGCACAGGUGGUGGGGAUGAAAACCACCAGAAAAACACUCACAAGUGUAUUUUGCUAUUAAUAAAGUCUUCACACAAAGAUACACAACACCCAUUCACAUUCAUGUGCACAACAGAAUGUAAACUACAGAGGAAAUACUUCCUCUCCUGAAUGAACAGUGAGAUUACUGGUGACUGUUGUUCAGCUGCUCCCACAGUGGGAACCAUUACGAUACCCAGACAGAAAACAAAAGGUCCAAAUUUCUUCAUGCCCUUAUUACAACCACAUUUAAACUAGCAUCUCACGGUAUGAAACAUGAAAUCUGAGUAUUUCUGUAACACCAAGAAUUACCUUUCGCACACAAUUUUAAAGCAGCAUCGUCUCUGCUCCUGUUUAGCUCUUAAAACUAUCAUCCCUCUCCUUACAGCUCAUGUUAUUCACAGUUGGUUGAAUGGCAGCUGAAGAGGACCCAACACCCGUGGAAUGGCUCAGCCUUUGGAAGGAGCCUGCAGGCACUCCCCACUCCAGGGAGGAGCACAAGAGCAGCACAUCUCCACUUACAGCUUCAUUUCCAUCAACACGGGCAGCACAGUCCCAAGUGUCCCCCCUUCAACACAUCUAUGUGACUGCAAGAAGUAUUUUUUAAUAUUUACAGUGUUGCAUUAUAACCAUUAUCAGAAAUAUCUGGGGGGUGGGGAAAGAUUCAUGUUCCUCAAACAUAACUGCUGGAAGGAGCAAAGACUCACAUGUUGUCCACACAGCUGUAAGGUGAGCUACAGUUUGACUUAGGCAACACGGAGGCACUGCUCAGCAGCACAGAGCUAGUUUAAAUGCGCAAUUAACUCAUGCUGGUCAAUCUACCUGACAGCCUCACUUCUGUUCUUCAACACGCACAAACUAGGCUUAACAUUUUGCAAGAUCGUGCUGUAACUAGUGCCAGUUAUCUUCUAUAUUCGUUAGGUUGUGGAUAAUUCAUUUGAUUCAGAUGCACAACCUUGGACUGAGGAGAAACCAUCAAUAUUAUUUAAUUACAUAAGCCCUAACCUGGGCAAGGAAUGCACCCCAUUUAUUCACCAUGUGCCUAUUUAGAGACUACAGGCUCACAUUUAAAGUCUGUAGGCUUUAAAUCUGAGAUUCAAACUCAGUGGUUUAAGAGAGAAAAUUAUGAAACCAAUACACAGACAUCUGUUUGCUGCUAUGGAUUUUGAAGAAAUAGAGCCUAAAGCGUUUCAGAGAAGGUCUACAACAGUGAGUAAAAAGUAGUCCCAGUCCUGGGAUUCUAUAAAGAACAUCUGUAGCAGUUCAUACUUUUCACCCUGGUGCAAAGUGAAAGCACAAGGGUGAAACCCAAACCCACUGCAGUGGGCUGAAGCCCUACCUUCAUUAGCUACAUCACAGAAGAAAGCAUCCUGCUGCACACAGAAACGCAAGUCACAGUUCCAUGGCAAUGUCAGCAAGUGUCAACAAGGCAUCGAUGCAUUCAGUGCGUCACCACUCCUUCUUAGAAAAUAACCUGCUCAGGGAGCUGAUGCACUGAGAGAUGGGAAAAAACAGUCACAAGUCUGGAAACACGCACUGAAGAUAAUGAAAUUUUACCCCAGAAACAAACCACCUGGGCACACAACAACUGCCAUUCUGACUAAGCUUCAGGGCAAAACUGCAGAAAACAAUCCAUCUCGUUCCGACUCACAACACCAAAAAUAAAGUUGGCCAAUUAGGUGUGGGCUGAUAAAUUUUCACAAGCAAUAACAGCAAUUCUUUUUUUUUUCCUGGCAAUGUCACAGGCAAAUCUUCUGGCAGAAUCCAAAUCUACUUAAACCAA